rnacentral:lncRNA from 1 species
AAGACCAUCAUUUGCAAAUGGGUAGUCUUCAAUUGUCAGCUUCACACCAUGCUCAGCUGUAGGAUCCUCAACUGCCAUUCCCCUGAAAUUAAUUAUGCAAAUUAACAAGUUAAUUAUUAGCUGAAAUUCCAUGGAGUCUCAUUUAAAGUCCAUACAUCACAUAAUGAAUGCAAUGGAAAUAAAUCUUAUAGCACGUAGCUUCAUCAUAUAUAUAACAGACCUUCUGAUUAGAUCUGCAGGCAAAGCUUCCAUGUCAAAGCGCCAAAGCUGGUCAUAAGCAGCAGAACUGAGCUCCAUUGAGUACUUGGCAGGUGAGAAGCAGGUCUCAAUGACUCCACCUGCAUUGAUGAGGCUUUCUCGAGCCAAAGCGUUGAUUUCCAUUGUAUACCUAAAAUGAGGAUGUAAAAGCCUAUAGAUGGGAUGCAUUGCACUUAGUUGUCUAUUUGCUGCAAUUAUGUAUGGUUCUGUACAACAAUGAGUCCUCAGCCUGUGAAAAAUAUAACAGCAAAAUGUAGUCAAAACUCACACAAGUUACAACAAUGAGUGCUCUACGAACAAGGUUUUGAGCAAUAUAUGUUUGGGGUACCAGAUUCUUACCAGUGGAUGACAAGUUGAUGAUAGCCAGCAUCAUGAGCACAAACAUGGGCUUUAGCAAGCCUCCACAGCCAGCAACCAGUUGCAUCCCAGGUUGGGGUAAACACUUCCUUCCAUUGGGGCUUGUCAUCAAUAGGUGGUCGAGUGAGUUCGAUGGCAAUAGGCCUCAGUGUACCAUUCUCUGUGAGGAAGAAUAGUGUCCGAGAACCAUACAGUGUAGUUCCUUCAACCUCUCUCACUUU